UACUGUAGAAGUUUGGAUGGAGUCCGGCUCUUAUAGGAGCUCGAAUGAAAUUCGAAAGGCGGUCGACCACCGUAGAAAUUUGGAUGGAGUCUGGUUACUGUAGAAGUCCUGUUGCUGGAGAAGCUCGGAUAUUGACAAAGUCCGAAAGAAGUUUGGAGUAAAAUCGAUCGUGGCAGGAAGAGGUCUGGAAGGGAUUCGAAGAGUAGUCGAUCACUGUAGAAAAUUGACUGAUAGUGAAGCUCAGAGAACGUUUGGAGCAGUCCGA
rnacentral:lncRNA from 1 species